AACGUAGGUGGCAAGCGUUGUCCGGAAUUACUGGGUGUAAAGGGAGCGCAGGUGGGCGUGCAAGUUGAAUGUGAAAACUAUGGGCUCAACCUAUAGAUUGCGUUCAAAACUGCGCGUCUUGAGUGGAGUAGAGGCAGGCGGAAUUCCAGGUGUAGCGGUGGAAUGCGUAGAUAUCUGGAGGAACACCAGUGGCGAAGGCGGCCUGCUGGGCUCUAACUGACACUGAGGCUCGAAAGCGUGGGUAGCAAACAGGAUUAGAUA
rnacentral:rRNA from 1 species